AACGAACGCUGGCGGCAUGCCUAACACAUGCAAGUCGAACGAGACCUUCGGGUCUAGUGGCGCACGGGUGCGUAACGCGUGGGAACCUGCCCUUAGGUUCGGAAUAACUCCCCGAAAGGGGUGCUAAUACCGGAUAAUGUCUUCGGACCAAAGAUUUAUCGCCUUUGGAUGGGCCCGCGUUGGAUUAGCUAGAUGGUAGGGUAAAAGCCUACCAAGGCGACGAUCCAUAGCUGGUCUGAGAGGAUGAUCAGCCACACUGGGACUGAGACACGGCCCAGACUCCUACGGGAGGCAGCAGUGGGGAAUAUUGGACAAUGGGCGAAAGCCUGAUCCAGCAAUGCCGCGUGAGUGAUGAAGGCCUUAGGGUUGUAAAGCUCUUUUACCCGGGAUGAUAAUGACAGUACCGGGAGAAUAAGCGCCGGCUAACUCCGUG
rnacentral:rRNA from 1 species